AAACCAGCACCUCAAGUGGUCAGGAUGAUUAUUGGGCCUAAAGCAUCCGUAGCCGGCUCAGUAAGUUUUCGGUUAAAUCUGUACGCUCAACGUACAGGCUGCCGGGAAUACUGCAGAGCUAGGGAGUGGGAGAGGUAGACGGUACUCGGGAGGAAGUGGUAAAAUGCUUUGAUCUUUCGAUGACCACCUGUGGCGAAGGCGGUCUACCAGAACACGUCCGACGGUGAGGGAUGAAAGCUGGGGGAGCAAACCGGAUUAGAAACCCUUGUAGUCC
rnacentral:rRNA from 1 species